GACGAACGCUGGCGGCGUGCUUAACACAUGCAAGUCGAACGGAAAGGCCCUGCUUUUGUGGGGUGCUCGAGUGGCGAACGGGUGGGUAACACGUGAGUAACCUGCCCUUGACUUUGGGAUAACUUCAGGAAACUGGGGCUAAUACCGGAUAGGAGCUCCUGCUGCAUGGUGGGGGUUGGAAAGUUUCGGCGGUUGGGGAUGGACUCGCGGCUUAUCAGCUUGUUGGUGGGGUAGUGGCUUACCAAGGCUUUGUCGGGUAGCCGGCCUGAGAGGGUGACCGGCCACAUUGGGACUGAGAUACGGCCCAGACUCCUACGGGAGGCAGCAGUGGGGAAUAUUGCACAAUGGGCGGAAGCCUGAUGCAGCAACGCCGCGUGCGGGAUGACGGCCUUCGGGUGGUAAACCGCUUUCGCCUGUGACGAAGCGUGAGUGACGGUAAUGGGUAAAGAAGCACCGGCUAACUACGU
rnacentral:rRNA from 1 species